rnacentral:snRNA from 13 species
AGCUUUGCGCAGUGGCAGUAUCGUAGCCAAUGAGGUUUAUCCGAGGCGCGAUUAUUGCUAAUUGAAAAUGGGUUUCUUGUUGAUAGUAUAUAGUUGGGUCCUUCUUUUAUUUCACUCUGAUAAUCUGUCUUUAAUUAGAAACUCUAAAAAAUUUACACUUAAU